UAGGGAAUCUUCGGCAAUGGACGAAAGUCUGACCGAGCAACGCCGCGUGAGUGAAGAAGGUUUCGGAUCGUAAAACUCUGUUGGUAGAGAAGAACGUUGGCGAGAGUGGAAAGCUCAUCAAGUGACGGUAACUACCCAGAAAGGGACGGCUAACUACGUGCCA
rnacentral:rRNA from 1 species